UUAGCACCAAAUUUGGGGAUUAAAUUCUACGCAUGAUUAUAAGCAAAAAAGUCAAUAAUUGUGCACCUCUAUGACGAACAGGAAGUCGGCCAUAUUGGAUAAAAAAUUCGGCGCCGUUUUGACUUGGGGGUCUACAAAAAGAUUCAGGUUCCUGGGGUUUGGUCCAAAUGAGCUCAGAUUUCACAUGUCACACCUACAGACAUGAACUCACAGAAGUUGCCCAUUUUUUUUCGGAUACUCCUUACGGUUCGCCCGUAGCACGCCGGCGAAUAACGCCUUCAUUUCCUGUUUUUUCGGUGGCCUGUCACGGCCACAGGCAUUGUCCGAGAGAACUCAAAUUCAAAUCACAAUUGUGUGAUCCAGGCCUGAAUGUGAUGAAAUAUGAAAUUUAAUAAAAGUGAACUCUAUAGCGCCCCCUAGCAUAGACGUGAAACGUCAACAUUGUUGGAUUUGUACCAAACUCGGGGAUUAAAUUCUAUGUUUAGCGGGUGGUACCACGGGGUGUCGCUGCUGGGCCACAGCCAGGUAGAAUUUAAGAGGAAGUUGGCUGUGUGCCCAGGAGGUGUCAGUUUCCGUGGGUGGCCCAUGGAUCUAUUAAAAUAACAGGUAGACAGCUGGACCCACAUGUGCGUGCGUUUGGCGACGAUACUGGGUGGCCACGCUGUUUUUAAAAAGAAACCUGGGGCGGUGCUAUGGGGAGCUGUGUGGGGAGUGCGACGCAGUUAACUACUGUCCCUGUUGUCCUUUGGUUGUUUGUGUUUUGUCCCGGUCACUUCCUUUUUCUCGAGUUUGUUAAAUAAAUCACAUAAAUUGCA